CGACGGGGGGAGCAAGCGUUGUUCGGAUUCAUUGGGCGUAAAGGGCUCGUAGGUGGCUUUGUAAGUCGGAGGUGAAAGCCCACGGCUCAACCGUGGAGGGUCAUUGGAAACUGGGGGACUUGAGUGCAGGAGAGAAAAGUGGAAUUCCACGUGUAGCGGUGAAAUGCGUAGAGAUGUGGAGGAACACCAGUGGCGAAGGCGACUCUUUGGCCUGUAACUGACGCUGAGGCGCGAAAGCGUGGGGAGCAAACAGG
rnacentral:rRNA from 1 species